UACGUAGGUGACAAGCGUUGUCCGGAUUUACUGGGCGUAAAGAGCGCGCAGGCGGUCGUUCAAGUCGAGUGUGAAAGCCCCCGGCUCAACUGGGGAGGGUCACUCGAUACUGAUCGACUCGAAGGCAGGAGAGGGAAGUGGAAUUCCCGGUGUAGUGGUGAAAUGCGUAGAUAUCAGGAGGAACACCGGUGGCGAAGGCGGCUCUCUGGACGGUGACUGACGCUGAGACGCGAAAGCGUGGGGAGCAAACAGG
rnacentral:rRNA from 1 species